rnacentral:rRNA from 1 species
UGGGGAAUUUUGGACAAUGGGCGCAAGCCUGAUCCAGCCAUGCCGCGUGCGGGAAGAAGGCCUUCGGGUUGUAAACCGCUUUUGUCAGGGAAGAAAUCUUCUGAGUUAAUACCUCGGGAGGAUGACGGUACCUGAAGAAUAAGCACCGGCUAACUACGUGCCAGCAGCCGCGGUAAUACGUAGGGUGCAAGCGUUAAUCGGAAUUACUGGGCGUAAAGCGUGCGCAGGCGGUUUUGUAAGACAGAGGUGAAAUCCCCGGGCUCAACCUGGGAACUGCCUUUGUGACUGCAAGGCUUGAGUGCGGCAGAGGGGGAUGAUUCCGCGUGUAGCAGUGUAAUGCGUAGAUAUGCGGAGGAA